CUUUUAUCUAACUCAAUUAACAGUCCUGCUCUCCUUUAACAAAUACAUUUUAAAGUUCCACCUUACUAAAUAAAUUCUUCCUUUUUAUACAGUUUUCCUCAUCUAACUAUCUAUUAAACUCUCUUUUCAUGUCCAUGAGAACCCUCAUCCUUUCAUUAUCCGUAAACUAGCAGACGUAUCGUACAUUUAUUUACAAAAUUGAAAUGCUACUUAUAUUUUUCUGUCCCGGCCGGUUAUGUUUUAAAAAUAAUAUAUAUUCUUGAUUUUUAAAUUAAUUAAAUUUAUAUCAAUUUGAACAAUUUUGCUACCAAUGAAUUUACGAAGUAAAUGUUAAACAGUCAAAUUUUGGGAGCCAAUUUCUGAGGUAAAAAUAUCGACUACCUCGGUUUGGGAGUCAAUUCAGUUGCACCCAUUCAAAUACAUGAACUUACGGGCUUUGAUAAAUAACUUUUCAUGUAUUUGUGCAUUAAAAUGUGUGCUAAAUUAACAAAUGAUUCAGAUCUAUUUAUCAAGUAACCUACCCGUACAAUUUAUACCUAAUUAGUUAAUAAUAAAUUUAAAAAAAAAAAAAUGAAUUUAUUACAAAUUUUCAUUUUCAUAAAAUAACACCUGCCUUCCUAUCUAUAAUAUGUAUACGAACCGAGAUAAUGUUUAAUGAUGUGUGUACAUUUCGGGAAGGUUUACAAUCGUCCUUUUUCAUGUUCCAAAAUUAUUUCCACGAUCACGUUCGACGUUCACCUCGUUUUUCGUCAAGUAUAUAAAAAAAAAACAUAAAUCAGUAAAAAAAAAAAAAAAACUACGAUAAAAAUAGUUCUUGUACCGUUGGACUUAUCGACGAAUUAUUCAAAAUACGAAAACCUAAAUAACCCUCAAAAUUGUUGAAAAUCGCAUCUUCAAAGAUAGUCGUGUACGUGUCGAAAAUAUUUUUUACGCUUAUUAUUAUUACUAUUAUAAUUAUUGUUAUUAUUAUUUGUAUUUUUAUAUAGUCGUGCCGGUUUCGUAUUCGUACUUAUGUGUAUACCUGUGUAUAUGUAAGUGUUAAACAAUAUUAUACAAUAAUAAUAUUAAUAAUAUUUAGAUGGCCACGGUGUAGAGUGCCUUAAACGUAAGGAAAAUAAUGUAAUCUUUAUAGCCUGUACAAUAAUUACCUAUCGUGUUAUAUUUAUACUCGAUGAAUAAUAUUAUGCUAGUCGUGUUAUGGAAUAAUUAUUAUUAUUUUUGUAUACAUUUCGGAUAAAACGAAAAGUGAACCAUGAAAACCGGACGCUCGUACGCAGAUAUUACAAAAAACGCUUGCGACGGAAAGCGGAUGAGUACCCAUCACUUCUUGUGUUGUUUAUUACGCCGAGAAUAAUGUGUCGAAUGGUCUUCAACGAGAAAGGAUUCAAGUCAAUUUUCGUCAUUUAUUUUUUACACCACUUGUGUGUGUGUGUGUAAUUUUACACGUUGAGAAAAAAUCAGCAAACAAAAAUUUUAAUCCGGUUCUUGUUCUUUCUUAUCUACAGUAUUUAUCUCUCAAAAUGUAUAUUUGAUAUCCCCCUCCCAUUGUAAUUUUCAAAAUUAAUAAAUAUAUGAUAAAAAUAGUAAUAGUAAGUUCGAUAAGUGUAUAAUGUUAUAAAUAAAACCACAUGGUUUCAAAAAAUAU